UUUACUAUAGUUUCUGUUAGUUUAUAGGCUCCAUGCAUGUCGCAAUCUUUAUGGUCCUUCCCAAUUACUAAAUGUUUGAAUUUUACUACAUACUAUUUUGGGAUGAAAGUGUCAAUAUUUUGUUACAAAGGUUUCCAAGGGAUCUGUUCAAAACCUGAAACAACAGCACUAUCAAUCUUCACUUAACCAAAGAAAAAAAAAAAGCACAACUGCAAAAUUGCGCUUUGGUAUGAAUACGUAUAUACCUAGCUAUAGGAUAUGUGAAAACAAAAGGCAAAAAAAAAAAAAAAAAAAAAAAAAAAAAAUCAAAAUCAAUUUUUAGGAAAAUAUAAAACAAAUACAAAGAACUCUUUGGUCUGUUUUCACUUGCACUCUAAACUUUUGAGCGUCUUCGAUGACAGAUCGAAUGCAAUGGAGCAGUCCAUGGUGGAAGCCUUCUUCUUUUUCAUUAUUAACAUCAAUUCAACCUUUCCGGUCAAACUAGCCGUGCUAUUGAGAGUUAACACCCCGGAGCUCAAUUCAUUCCCAAGAUUGGAACCCGUCAGUGCAUUCGAAUUCAAGCUCACCUCGACGUUCACUUUUUUGGUGGAAAGCAUUCCAGCCUUGCUCUUCGGAAUAACCACUUGUCCGACAGCAGCUCCUUGGUACAAAAACGUGACAGUGCUAGCAUCAAACUUGUAAGGACCCCAGUUUGUGU
rnacentral:sRNA from 1 species